AUUCUGCUCGAUUACCUCAAGUAAGAAAGCGCCUCGUGAGGUCCAUACUGCAAAAUACCAUGAAGAAGAUAAAUCCUCGAUCUCCUCGAGUUCCUACAUGGAAAGCACCCAAGUGCCCACAACAGGAAAACGGAGUUGACUGUGGCCUAUACGUGAUGAGAUUCAUGUAUGACAUAGUGAUGAGUCAUUGUACAGACACACGUCAGCUUGAAGAG